GAGUAAGUCUUGAACGACCAGCUCCCGCGAACCUCCCCAGGUGCGGAAGUAAGCAAGGAUAAGCGGUUGUAGCGGUGCGUCUCAAGGAGCUUGCUCCAU
rnacentral:SRP_RNA from 1 species